CCUACGGGCGGCAGCAGUGAGGAAUAUUGGUCAAUGGUCGGGAGACUGAACCAGCCAAGCCGCGUGAGGGAUGAAGGUACAGAGUAUCGUAAACCUCUUUUGUCAGGGAACAAAGGCGGGGACGUGUCCCCGGAUGAGUGUACCUGAAGAAAAAGCAUCGGCUAACUCCGUGCCAGCAGCCGCGGUAAUACGGAGGAUGCGAGCGUUAUCCGGAUUUAUUGGGUUUAAAGGGUGCGCAGGCGGUCUGUUAAGUCGGCGGUAAAAGCCCGGGGCUCAACCCCGGCCCGCCGUUGAAACUGGCAGUCUCGAGUUGGAGAGAAGUAUGCGGAAUGCGCGGUGUAGCGGUGAAAUGCAUAGAUAUCGCGCAGAACUCCGAUUGCGAAGGCAGCAUGCCGGCUCCACACUGACGCUGAGGCACGAAAGCGUGGGUAUCGAACAGGAUUAGAUACCCUUGUAGUC
rnacentral:rRNA from 1 species